rnacentral:rRNA from 1 species
AACGAACGCUGGCGGCAGGCUUAACACAUGCAAGUCGAACGUCCUGGCAACAGGGCGUGGCAGACGGGUGCGUAACGCGUGGGAACAUACCUUUCGGUUCGGAAUAACCCAGGGAAACUUGGGACAAUACCGGAUACGUGCGAAAGCAGAAAGAUUUAUCGCCGAAAGAUUGGCCCGCGUCCGAUUAGCUAGUUGGUGAGGUAAUGGCUCACCAAGGCGACGAUCGGUAGCUGGUCUGAGAGGAUGAUCAGCCACACUGGGACUGAGACACGGCCCAGACUCCUACGGGAGGCAGCAGUGGGGAAUAUUGGACAAUGGGCGAAAGACCUGAUCCAGCCAUGCCGCGUGAGUGAUGAAGGCCCUAGGGUUGUAAAGCUCUUUUCGCCAGGGACGAUAAUGACGGU